AUACAGAGGUUGCAAGCGUUAAUCGGAAUUACUGGGCGUAAAGGGCGCGUAGGCGGAUAAUUUAGUUAGAGGUGAAAUCCCUGGGCUUAACCUAGGAAUUGCCCCUAAUACUGGUUGUCUAGAGUGCAGUAGAGGAAAGUGGAAUUUCCGGUGUAGCGGUGAAAUGCGUAGAUAUCGGAAGGAACAUCAGUGGCGAAGGCGACUUUCUGGCCUGCAACUGACGCUGAGGCGCGAAAGCGUGGGGAGCAAACAGGAUUAGAAACCCCAGUAGUCC
rnacentral:rRNA from 1 species